AUGUGGCCAGUUUCUCCAAAUCCUCGGCCACAAGCACCUGGAUAUGUGAAAAUGCCAGGCAAGCCUUCUAACAAUGACAGGAAGAGGGAAGAAACAGAGAAGCCGAAGGGUAAGAAAAUGAGCAAACAUGGAACUGUGAUCAAGUGUUCAUUGUGUGGUAGCAUUGGACACAAUAAGGCUAGCUGCAAAAAGAAUCCAGAUAGAGGAAAGAAAAAGAAUGCACACCUAGUUAAGAGCAAGAAAGCAGAGAUGAUAAUGAUGAUUCAACGCUAGAGUGGGGCUGCUCCGUUCCACAUACUUCAUCUCGUCGAUGGCUCCCCGCACGACGAUCCGCGGGAGGUUUUAGCAUGA
rnacentral:rRNA from 1 species